GUGAGUGAAGUGUAUUGGUCUCUGGUGGAGAAAGCAGAUAAGAAGUUCUCUAAGAUCAGAGACUUGCCCUAUUAUGAACGAAACAGGUAUGAUACAUAUUUUUACAAGGUAUUCAAGGUGUAUACACAAUUGUGGAAGUUUCAACAAGAGAAUCGACAGAAGCUCGUGGAAGCUGGGCUUAAGAGAUGGGAGAUUGGGGAAAUUGCAUCUCGAAUUGCUCAGCUUUAUUAUGGGCAAUAUAUGCGGACAAGUGAUGCAGGUUAUUUGUCAGAGUCAUAUAUAUUCUAUGAAGCCAUACUGAGUCGAGAAUAUUUCAAGGAUGGUUUGUUUCAAGAUCUAAAUCUUGCAAACAAACAGCUGAGGUUUUUCGCCAGGUUUUUAAUGGUGUGCCUGGUUUUGAACCGACGAGAAAUGGUGCAUCAGUUGGUUAAUCAACUCAAAAUGUUGGUUGAUGAAUGCAGGGGGACAUUCCAGGAAACUGACUUUAAAGAAUGGAAGCUGGUGAUUCAGGAAAUAAUUAGAUUUUUGAAAGCUGACACAGCUUUUAUGAAUAUCAGGCCUUUAAGAUAUAGUCUUGUACUGGACCCUCAUCCAGAUUCACUACCACGCAUUGCAACAAGGAGAAACUUAAGAUUACGAGAUGCAAUACUGAGUAGCUACCAUCAUAAUGAGGUUAAGUUUUCUGAGCUCACUUUAGACACCUUCAGGAUGCUUCAGUGCCUCGAGUGGGAGCCAAGUGGUUCAUUUUACCAGUCAAAUUCUACUAAAAUUGGUCAGAAUGGGGGUCCAGGGCCUAGUCGCAUUAACUACUCCCAGGAUAUAACUGAUCCUACUUUACCUGCAAAUUCACGGAAAGCUGUCUUGUAUCGUCCUUCUGUGACACAUUUUUUAGCCGUACUGGGUAUGAUUUGUGAGGAGCUACCUGCUGAUGGAGUUCUUCUAAUAUAUUUGUCAGCGUCAGGAAGGGUUGGACAAACUAUUUCAUCUCCCUCUGCUGCUGGAACUUCUCUCAUCACUGCUGAGACUGCUGUGAGGAACUUUCAAUCUCAUACCAUCUACUCGGACGCAACAUCCACAUCUCCAUUUAGUUCACCUAGUAAUUCUUCAAAUCCAUCA
rnacentral:misc_RNA from 1 species